GACGAACGCUGGCGGCGUGCUUAACACAUGCAAGUCGAACGGAAAGGCCUUUUCGGAGGUACUCGAGUGGCGAACGGGUGAGUAACACGUGGGUGAUCUGCCCUGCACUCUGGGAUAAGCCUGGGAAACUGGGUCUAAUACCGGAUAGGACCGCACUUUAGUGUGUGUGGUGGAAAGUUUUUUCGGUGUAGGAUGAGCCCGCGACCUAUCAGCUUGUUGGUGGGGUAAUGGCCUACCAAGGCGGCGACGGGUAGCCGGACUGAGAGGUUGGUCGGCCACAUUGGGACUGAGAUACGGCCCAGACUCCUACGGGAGGCAGCAGUGGGGAAUAUUGCACAAUGGGCGCAAGCCUGAUGCAGCGACGCCGCGUGGGGGAUGACGGCCUUCGGGUUGUAAACUCCUUUCGCCAGGGACGAAGCGUUUUGUGACGGUACCUGGAGAAGAAGCACCGGCUAACUACGUG
rnacentral:rRNA from 1 species